rnacentral:rRNA from 1 species
UACGUAGGUGGCAAGCUUUGUCCGGAUUUACUGGGUGUAAAGGGCGUGUAGACGGGUCUGCAAGUCAGAUGUGAAAUACCGGGGCUCAACUCCGGGGCUGCAUUUGAAACUGUGGAUCUUGAGUGCGGGAGAGGGAAGCGGAAUUCCUAGUGUAGCGGUGAAAUGCGUAGAGAUUAGGUGGAACACCAGUGGCGAAGGCGGCUUUCUGGACCGUAACUGACGUUGAGGCGCGAAAGCGUGGGGAGCAAACAGG